GGCCGACAUGCCGAAGGAGGCGGGCAAGGUGAGAAGCCUACUCCCGGGUAAAAGGGGCGCGGCCGGCUUGCCGAAAGGGGCGGGGUGCGGCCAGCAGCAGGAUGUGGACAGUUGAUAGGAGGGGAAGUGGGCAGGGGAGAAGUGGGGCGUGGCGAGUGGCGUGUCUAUGCAGAUGGGGUGGGGCCUGGUGAAGGCCGGGGCUGCGCAGGUGAAAAGAGGGGCUCCUGGAAGGGAGUGCUAUGUUGCGCAGGGCUGUGCAAGUGAUGGGGGGAGCAUAGUGAGGGGUGGCUCUUUGCAGGUGAGGAGUGUAGCCUAGUAGGCGGGGAUGCAGGCGUUCUCAUGAAAACCAAGUGCAGCCGGAGGGAGAUGCCUGUGCCCGCUCCCGUGACCUUCCCGGCCAGCCCGGCUGCAGCGGCCUCUCGGCAGGCAUCUGUCUGGUGCUGCCUCCAUGCCCCUCCCGUCACCUGACGCUCCUGUUCCUGAAUCUUCACGCGUGUGCUCCGUGCAGCCACCUCACGGGCUCCCUGGGAAUAGAGACAGUGUCUCACGCCGGUCAGAAUGCUCUUCUCUGUCCACUGAAUAGUCCAACAGGGAAUCAUUCCUCUGUGAUUAUUGAUGCUUUGUUAUGUAGAACUGGAAUGAAGAAAAAGUGAAUUUAGACAUUACAGCCAUCAGGUUGAAGCUAGGUGUUCACAGUGGCAUGAGGAGAAUGGCAUUAGGGUUCUGGGAACCGUGCAGUUUGACUGAAGGAAGGGGGCUCACCUCAUGUAACUGAAGGUAUGUAUGCCUGCCACACUGCCCAGGAGACAGGGACUUAGAAUUCUGACUUUAUUUCUUAUGGGAACCAAGCCACAGUCAGAACACGGUGAGGGCUGAAAGGAGCUUCCUACAGCCUGAACUGGGAAGAGGAAUCGCAAGUAGUUUGUGUUUUUCUACACAGACCUGUCCUUUCAGGUUUUGUUAAGUUCUGGAAAAAGGGAGAAGCCAGGCACACCUCGAUGAGGGACAGUGUUUCUGGAGGUGGUGCGGCUUCAGCCUGAACGUGGCUG
rnacentral:lncRNA from 1 species